ACCGACAUCAGCGAUUCAUUCUGCGAACCCUGGCCAACCGCCAGAUAGGCGUUCAUCCCCAGCUCUUUCAUCUGCUGCUCGCCAAUCACCCGGGUGGUGAUAUUGCUCCAGGCAUCAGCCAGCUGGCGCGCCUGUGACGCCAGAUAAGCGGCAUUACAGAUAUUCGGCGGCAUAUUGCCCAGGUCUUUCGC
rnacentral:antisense_RNA from 1 species